CCCACUUCGCCAUUUUCCUCCGGAAGUGCGGAUCCCAGCGGCCGUCCUGUAGCUGAGCAGGCCUGGGGCUUGGUUCUAUGUCCCUGUGGCUAUGUUUCCAGUGUCCUCUGGGUGUUUCCAAGAGCAACAAGAAACGAAUAAAUCUCUGCCCCGCAGCGCCUCCACCCCAGAGACCCGGACCAAGUUCACACAGGACAAUCUGUGCCGCGCCCAGCGCGAGCGCCUGGACUCAGCCAACCUGUGGGUGCUGGUGGACUGCAUCCUUCGCGACACCUCCGAGGACCUGGGACUCCAGUGUGACGCAGUGAACCUGGCCUUUGGGCGCCGCUGUGAGGAACUGGAGGACGCGCGGCACAAGCUGCAGCACCACCUGCAAAAGCCCCAGCUCACACCCCCCAACACCCCCAAGCUGGUGAGUGAGUUGGAGGAGCUGUACAAGUCCAUCACAGCGCUGUGGGAGAAGCUUCUACAAGCGGAGCAGUCCCUGCACAACCUCGAGGACAUCCACAUGAGCCUGGAGAAGGACGUCACUGCCAUGACCAACAGUCUCUUCCUCGACCGCCAGAAUUGCAUGGCCCAUCAUACUUGCUACCCCACCAUCCUGCAGCUGGCUGGCUACCAGUGAGCAGCGGCACGGUGCUUCCCCCCAAUCCCCCAAAUAAACAGUGCAUUAGCUUUCUGCA
rnacentral:lncRNA from 1 species